UACUUGUUAGUUGCCAUCAUUCAGUUGGGCACUCUAGCGAGACUGCCGGUAAUAAACCGGAGGGAAGGUGGGGAUGACGUCAAAUCAUCAUGCCCCUUAUGACCUGGGCUACACACGUGCUACAAUGGUUGGUACAACGAGUUGCGAGUCGGUGACGGCGAGCUAAUCUCUUAAAGCCAAUCUCAGUUCGGAUUGUAGGCUGCAACUCGCCUACAUGAAGUCGGAAUCGCUAGUAAUCGCGGAUCAGCACGCCGCGGUGAAUACGUUCCCGGGCCUU
rnacentral:rRNA from 1 species